rnacentral:lncRNA from 1 species
GAGAAGUUAACUGUUAUUUUGAACUCUGAAUCUCAUAUAGACCAGUGUUCACUUUAUCUUACUCUCUCUCUCUCCUCUCUCUCACUCUCUGUCUCUGAAAUUUCUUCAGAUUUUUUAUUUGUUUCUGGUGCUCUUACUUUUCACAAUGUUGGAACUUAUUGAUGGUUCUGUCUGUGUCUAUUGGGCUGGACAUGCUUUAGGAUCUUUUAUAACCUGUACUCAGUUUGAGUAGUUUCUUGGGUUGAUUCCGUUUUGAUUUUCUCAUUUCUUUGGAAAUUUAUAAUUUUAAAAUUUUGGACCACUGAGAACAUUUUUAAAUUGUCUUAAUCUAACUUUCCACUUCUAUUCUUUUGCCUAUUCUUCUUAGAUAAUUUUUACACUUUAUUUUCAAGCCCUUCUAUUAAUAUUUUUAUUUCUGCUGUGUUAUUUCUAAGACUUACAGAUUUUAUAAUGCUAUUUUUUAGCAUCUCUCCUAUUUUGUGGAUAUGUCAUCUUUUCUCUCUGAAUAUGAUAAUGAGGCUUUCAUUUGUUUUCUAAGUUUUUAUAUCCCUAGGUAUUUACUGUUUUGAUAAUUUUUUCUUCCCUGUUUGUUUGCUUUGCUUUUUUCUUCCAAGAUAAAGCCUGGAAGCUGCACGUCACCUGCCAGCUUUGUGUGUGCCCAGUGAGUGCAGGUGGCAUAAUGACCAGCGGUGACUUGAAUGACAAGGGGACAGAACAGCUGGACAAUCCAAUUCCUAGAUGCUUUCUCCAGUUAUGGCCCUGACUGGGAUCUCCGAAGAAUGACUCAGCUGAAACUAUUUCAUCAUUGCCUACAUUUGUCUUCAGACGACCUGCAGUACAAACUUGGCUUAAACCUGCAGUUGACAAUGCUGAAUCUCCAUGUGCUCUCUCUCUCUUCUAACAUCAAUGCAGCUCCUGGUAUGUGGUCGUUCUCAGGCCCAAAGGCCCAUUUUGCUUUUGGCUGCAACUCUGUAACUCUGUAACAGAGACCAAGUGCCUGCAGGGAGCAGAUGUUUGGGGCAGUAUCUGCUAAGGUGGCUUUGCUGAAACUUGUUUCUCUCAUUGGGUCUUGGAAGUGGCGAAUAGGACGUUCCUAUAGAAAAACUCAGAAAGAGACUGUGAAAGAUAAUCUUAAAGAGGCACUCACGAAACACAAGCUCCUUCUCCGGGAAAAAGAAUCAUCACCCUUGUUAUCCCAUGAAAAUUCAUCUUCUCCUUUUCAGCUGAUAUGAGGACUUGAUCUGUCCUUUCCUAUAAGUGCCAUCUGUGUUUAAAUGAGGCUGUUACUCUAACUCAAAGCAGACUUGCAAGAGUAAAAUAAUCAAUCUUCAUCAUAUUGCUGCACUUUCGACAGUUAAUUUUCUAGAGUAAUUUGUCAUUGUGAGGAGCAUAAGAUUUGUCUGAAUUUGUGUCAAAGGUUAUUGACUGAAUUGCCACCUCAUCUUUUCAGUCAAUCUAUAAAUAUGGGCAAGUUUGGGCAGAGGCUAAUGGCCUUCUCACUAAGGGGAUGAGAUUGUCCAAGUUAGGCAACUGAUAAGAGGUAGAAAUAUCUAUUGUGUCACCCAUUUCUUGUGGUAGCAUUGACUUAGAGUUAAUCUCAGAAACUUCACUUAACCUUCUUAAUCCUUUUCUUCCUGUAAAACAAGGCUAAAAAUUGUCAUAACUAUAUUCUAGUUUCCACAAAAGCUAAUCUAAGUAUUAAAAUUUUUAUUGUGACUUUGUGAGAGUGAUCCUGUAUUUUUCACAAAACUAAGAAGAAAAUAUUUUUAUUUAGUGUUUUUCUAUGAAUAGCUUUUGGUUUUUGGAAAAACCAUCUGAUCUUUAUUACUAAGAUUCUUGCUUCUUAGGUCAAAUUCUUGUUCCCUGUCUUUAUAUAGAGUCUAAUAUUGGGAACAUACCCAAGGACCACAUGGAUAAUUUUAUGAUGCUUGCUGACUAUUAUGUUUCUUGCCCACUUUAAUAGCCUAAUAAUAAUAGUUACGAAUUCUUAUUGAGAAAUAGCCAUUCUUAAUCAAUGCCAAUGACAGUGUUUCCUCUUUCAGACUGAAGGAAAAACAGGGAGAAAACCAGUUCAUAUAUUAUGGUUAAACACUGAUAAAACAUUUUGGUUAAAUAUCUGCCUUCAUGGGUUAUUGCAAAAUAGAUUAGUUUAAAGCUCAUCUAGCCCUGAAAUAUACAGUUAGAUUAUUUUUUAUGGAUUUCAAUUAUUUUUAUUUCAUUACAGUUAUUUUUUUUUCAAUACAUGGCCUGUUUGAAGAUACAUCAUAGUAAUGGUAACAGCAGCAACCACUGCAGUAAAUAACUGACAAUUGCUGAACAAUUCAUGUCUGCCAUGCCAUGCUAUGAGGGCCUUAAGGAAUAAAUACAACUUAUAUUCAUAAUAAACAUAGGAGGUUGUAGAAGGCUAAAUAAUGGGUCACCAAAGAUACCCACAUCCCAUAAUUCCUGUAACUGGUGACUAUGUUACCUUGCAUGGUAGAAGGGAUUUUGCAGUUGAGGUUAAGGUUAAAGACUUUAUAAAGGCAGAUUAUCUUGGAUUAUCUGGGUGGGUCUUUAAAAGCGGAAGAGAAAAGCAGAAAAGCAAGUCAGACAGACAGAUGCAACUACAGAAGAGACAGUAGGGACUCAACUCAAAUGACUAACUUUGAAGAUGGAGGAGGUGGUCCAUGAGGCAAGGAAUGCACUUGCUUCUAGAAGCUGGGAAUAACCCACAGCUAGAAGCAAAGUAGGAAAUGGAAGUCUCAAUUCUACAUCGUAAGGAAGUGAAUUCUGCCAAUAACUUGAAAGAGAAGGAAAUAGAUUCCCUCCAGAGGCUCUAGAAAAUAAUGUAUCCCUGCUGACACCUUAAUUUGAUUUGAGCCCCAUGAGACCCACGUUGGACUUCUGACUUAUGGAGCUUGUAAGAUAAUAAAUUUGCAUUGUUUCAGCCACUACAUUUGUGGAAAUUUGUUACAACCACAAUAGGAAACUCAUAGAAUAGUAAUCACUAGUAAUAUCUUCAUUUAACAGUUGAGGAAAUUGAGGCAGGACAACACAAGUUAUAAAAAUUAUCUCAGUUCUUAGUAGAGUUCCUGGCAUAUGACAAGCAGUUAAUGUCUUUGUAGAAUGAAUGAAUGAAUAAAUAAAUAGAUUUUUUCUUAUGCUUUCCCAAA